rnacentral:rRNA from 1 species
CCUACGGGCGGCAGCAGUGGGGAAUAUUGGGCAAUGGGCGCAAGCCUGACCCAGCAACGCCGCGUGAAGGAAGAAGGCUUUCGGGUUGUAAACUUCUUUUAAGAGGGAAGAGCAGAAGACGGUACCUCUUGAAUAAGCCACGGCUAACUACCUUCCAGCAGCCGCGGUAAUAAGGUGGUGGCAAGCGUUUUCCGGAUUUACUGGGUGUAAAGGGCGUGCAGGCGGGAAGGCAAGUCAGAUGUGAAAUCCCGCGGCUCAACCGGGGAACUGCAUUUGAAACUGUUUUUCUUGAGUACCGGAGAGGUCAUCGGAAUUCCUAGUGUAGCGGUGAAAUGCGUAGAUAGAAGGAAGAACACCAGUGGCGAAGGCGGAUGACUGGACGGCAACUGACGGUGAGGCGCGAAAGCGUGGGGAGCAAACAGGAUUAGAUACCCGUGUAGUC